rnacentral:rRNA from 1 species
GACGAACGCUGGCGGCGUGCCUAAUACAUGCAAGUAGGACGCAGUUGCGAACGGGAGAGUAACGCGUAGGUAACUACCUAUUAGAGGGGGAUAACUAUUGGAACCGAUAGCUAAUACCGCAUACUAGUAGAUGGACCUGCGUUGUAUGAGGUAGUAGGUAGGGUAAUGGCCUACCUAGGCAACGAUACAUAGCCGACUCGGGAAGGAGAACGGCCCACCUGGGACCGAGACACGGCCCAAAAUCCCUAGGGGAGCAGCAGGAGGGAAUUAUCGGAAAUGGGGGGAAACCUGACUGAGCCACUCCGCGUGAUUGAAGAAGGUUUUCAGAGCGUAAAGCUCCGUUGUUCAGGGAGCGGUACUUAAACAGAAAGGGACGGCUAACUCCGUGCCAGCAGCCGCGGUAAUAC